rnacentral:tRNA from 1 species
GGUGUGUUAGUUCAAUGGUAGAACAGCGUGCUACGGACACGUAAAUAUAAGUUCAAGUCUUAUACACGCUUC